CCCGGCGGCAGUCAGCUGUACAGGCCUUUCCCAUGCCUGAGCUAGUGUUACUCUGCUGGAAGAGAAAGGCACUGCCGUUUGUGCUCCAUCUGCUUUUGCUGUUUUAGUGAAUCCUGAUGUUCAGCACCGGUCAUGCCAUGCCUUCUGAGAGCGGGCUGAGCUCACAAAAUGGGGCAGCCCUAGUCUGGGGGCGAACAGU